UGUACAGCACAUUCAUUGUCUCGCCGUCCUUUGUAGGUUUGUGCGUGUAUGUGCAUAAAUACAAGACAGGACUCAUCUAAACCGCCAUAUACAUUCACGCAGUCGUAGGAAAACUGUUAUUCCAUUCUUAUAUUUACCUUAACACGCUCCAAGUGUGGGAACUUCCUGUGACACAGAAUCUACCUUCCUGACAGCUGUUCGUGCCUGGAACUACGUCGAGCUUGCAUCAUAUUUCAAAAUUGCAGAAAUGGACCACGAUGGUAUCUCCGCCCAUGCUGAAAUGCCUUUGGCUUCCGGAAGCCUUGCCGAUCUGGAGGCCGAGAAAGCACGGCUGAAGACACGCCUGGAGGAGACUCGGGAAGCCCUUGUGUGUCGCGUGUGCUUGGACCGCCCCGUGGCAGCUGUUUUCAUGCCCUGCGCCCACCUCAGCACCUGCCACUCCUGCUCCGCGUCCCUGACCAUGUGUCCUCUCUGUCGCACGCCCAUCCACUAUGCGGCCGCUGUUAUACUCGACUGAUCAGGGCGGGCUUAGGCUUGUAAACUCUGCAGAUUUUAUGUCUUACUUUUUUUUCUUUCUUUUUUCUUUUUUUACGUGAGUCUAAGCGAAGCUCUUAUGAUAUGUUAGGUUUUAGACAAAUUAUAUUUCCACUAAGGGUUAAGCCAUGUCAAUUUACGUUUUAUUAAGUAAUCAGCUAUUUAUGUGAAAGCGCUAGUCUAUACUUUAUACUUAUCUGCAACAUACAAAUGCACUUUUCUUCGGUUUAGAUCCCUUAAGAGCAGAUGAAUUAUAAGAGAGUCUAUGUUGACCCAGGUCGCAUGUUUUAAAUUCUAUUUCAUACAUACAUCAGAGGAUUAUUUUAAAAAUAAGAAAUAAAAAUAAAAGAAUAAAAGGACAAUCUCACGCAAUAUGUAGGAAAAUAAUCUUGUUAAACUAUCAUUAUCAGUAAUAUGACUGUGAAUAUCUUUCAGAAUAGUAUGACUAAAUGUAAAUGAAUAUAUAAUAUUCAGUCCAGUGGUAAUUUAAUCUUCGUUUGUGCGCGUCUGUUACAGAUAACGCUCUCUGUUGAUUACAAUUAUCUUUGUUUAUGUUGUCUUGCCUAAAUAUAUUUGUUUUUGUUUUUUCUAAAUAACGUGUUAUGAUUUUAUAAAAAAAAAGCAAAUUUCUAUUACCGUUUCCAUUUUCCAUCAAUAAUAAAUUGAAUGUGAAAAAAAACACAUAAUGAUAAGCAAAUAUAAUGAUUGAAGGAAUAACAGACAAAUUCACACAAACAUGCACUAGCUAAAAGUGAUCAGCCGAAUGACACAAAGUCACAAGCCAAACACAAUAAUGUUGCCUGUUUUAUAAGACAUUUCAAAUGAAACUGCAAAGAAUGUCGUCAUAGUCGAAUAUCUUUUAUAUUGACCGAAGAUCUAGUGACUCAGCGGUCCUUCGAUUUCAAAAUAACGAAGAAAUCUGAUCCUAUCAACUAGUCCCAAAGAUCCUACGAUCACCUUCUACAACGUUAUCAAUGAGAUGAGCAUAUCUUGCACCUUCUGAUAUGAGGGGCCAAAGUGUAAGAAAAAUAUAAAAGUUUCAAUUAAAACUGCGUACUAUACUUUGAAUUCCAGUGCGUUCGGUAACCUUAGAUAUUAUACUGAUAUAUUUCCAAAGAAGUUUCAUUUAUCUUUUAUUUUGUUUUGUUUAUUUAUCUAUUUUUCUAGGGAUAAAAGGUAUCAGGAUGGUGAA
rnacentral:lncRNA from 1 species